rnacentral:lncRNA from 1 species
UGGAUGUAAAGUGAGCAAGCUAGAAACCCGAGAAGGGAGGAGAGGGAUGGGGAUCAAAUGUAUCAGAAAGGAGCUAAAUCUGAUGACAGCAAGACCAACCAGACACUCCUUUUCCUCCUUGUCCUCAGCCUACUCAACGUGAAGACAAUGAGAAGCCCUUUGUGAUGAUCCACGUCCACCUAAUGAAUAGAAGAAGAAACAGAUGGGAUUGGUGAGCAUCUAGCCAAUUUCCACCACAAAUGCUCAUUUUGGCUGCCUCCAGGCCAAAGGUAAAAACUAAAAAGCCAGAGAAUACUAAAUGUUGGCCAAGAUGAGGAAAACAGAAACUCUCAUCCUCUGCUAGUUGGAAUGAAAAUUGAUGCAACGUCCCUGGAAAACAGUUUGGUAUUACCUAGCAAAGUAGAACCUGUGCCUCCCCUACAACCCAGCAAUUCCACUCCUGGUAUACAAUCAAAAUAAACUUUUGUACUUGUAUCCCAAAUAAUAUAUACUAGAAUACCUACAUCAGCA